rnacentral:misc_RNA from 1 species
CGAAGACAUCGUGAUGUGCUUUCUCAAUUUCAUCAAACAGGACUACAGAAUAUGGUCUUCGACGAACCACUUCAGUGAGCUGCCCCCCUUCUUCAUAUCCAACAUAACCUGGCGGAGCCCCCACCAACCGUGAAACAGCAUGCUUUUCCAUAUAUUCACUCAUAUCUAUUCUCACCAUAGCAUUUUCCGUGUUAAAGAGGUAAGCAGCUAAAGCUUUUGCAAGCUCAGUUUUGCCAACACCAGUAGGGCCCAUGAACAUGAAGCUAGCUAUUGGACGAUUUGGGUCUGACAAUCCUGCCCUUGAACGUCGGAUUGCAUCAGCCACAGAUUUUACUGCAAUAUCUUGGCCAACUACCCUCUUGUGGAGUACCUGUUCCAGGAAUACUAGUUUCUCCCUCUCAGAUUCUUGAAGGUUUGACACAGG